UACGAAGGGGGCUAGCGUUGCUCGGAAUUACUGGGCGUAAAGCGCACGUAGGCGGCUUCUUAAGUCGGUGGUGAAAUCCUGGAGCUCAACUCCAGAACUGCCUUCGAUACUGGGAAGCUCGAGUCCGGGAGAGGUGAGUGGAACUGCGAGUGUAGAGGUGAAAUUCGUAGAUAUUCGCAAGAACACCAGUGGCGAAGGCGAUCAUCUGGGGUUGUUCUGACACUGAGGAGCGAAAGCUAGGGGAGCAAACGGG
rnacentral:rRNA from 1 species